UACGUAGGUGGCAAGCGUUAUCCGGAAUUAUUGGGCGUAAAGCGCGCGCAGGCGGUUUCUUAAGUCUGAUGUGAAAGCCCACGGCUCAACCGUGGAGGGUCAUUGGAAACUGGGAAGCUUGAGUGCAGAAGAGGAGAGUGGAAUUCCAUGUGUAGCGGUGAAAUGCGUAGAGAUAUGGAGGAACACCAGUGGCGAAGGCGACUCUCUGGUCUGCAACUGACGCUGAGGCGCGAAAGCGUGGGGAGCGAAC
rnacentral:rRNA from 1 species